UACAGAGGUCUCAAGCGUUGUUCGGAUUCAUUGGGCGUAAAGCGCGCGUAGGCGGUUUUGCAAGCCAGAGGUGAAAUGCCUGAGCUCAACUCAGGAAUGGCCUUUGGGACUGCGAGGCUUUGAGGACUGGAGAGGUGAGUGGAAUUCCCAGUGUAGAGGUGAAAUUCGUAGAUAUUGGGAAGAACACCGGUGGCGAAGGCGGCUCACUGGCCAGUUUCUGACGCUGCAGCGCGAAAGCGUGGGGAUCAAACAGG
rnacentral:rRNA from 1 species